ensembl:snoRNA SNORD29 Small nucleolar RNA SNORD29
UUUCUGUGAUGAAUUCAACUAGCUCACUAUGACUUACGCAAUGAAAACAUACGAACACCUGAGAAAC